UUUCCAGAGAUGGAUUGGUGCCUUCGGGAACUCUGAGACAGGUGCUGCAUGGCUGUCGUCAGCUCGUGUUGUGAAAUGUUGGGUUAAGCCCGCAACGAGCGCAACCCUUAUCCUUUGUUGCCAGCGGUCCGGCCGGGAACUCAAAGGAGACUGCCAGUGAUAAACUGGAGGAAGGUGGGGAUGACGUCAAGUCAUCAUGGCCCUUACGAGUAGGGCUACACACGUGCUACAAUGGCGCAUACAAAGAGAAGCGACCUCGCGAGAGCAAGCGGACCUCAUAAAGUGCGUCGUAGUCCGGAUUGGAGUCUGCAACUCGACUCCAUGAAGUCGGAAUCGCUAGUAAUCGUGGAUCAGAAUGCCACGGUGAAUACGUUCCCGGGCCUUGUACACACCGCCCGUCACACCAUGGGAGUGGGUUGCAAAAGAAGUAGGUAGCUUAACCUUCGGGAGGGCGCUUACCACUUUGUGAUUCAUGACUGGGGUGAAGUCGUAACAAGGUAAGCGUAGUGCU
rnacentral:rRNA from 1 species